rnacentral:tRNA from 1 species
GGCAGUUGAACCGACCCAGUCACUGCAAGGGAAGUCAGCCAAGAACGUCGGGCUCAUAACCCGAAGGUCGGGAGUUCAAAUCUCCCCCCCGCCACCA